UGAGGAAUCUUGCGCAAUGGACGAAAGUCUGACGCAGCCACGCCGCGUGGAGGAAGACACCCCUAUGGGGCGUAAACUCCUUUUCUACGUGAAGAACACCCUGCUCGGCAGGGUCUGACGGUAGCGUAGGAAUAAGCACCGGCUAACUCCGUGCCAGCAGCCGCGGUAAUACGGAGGGUGCAAGCGUUGUCCGGAAUCACUGGGUGUAAAGGGUGUGUAGGCGGGGCAGUAAGUCAGUGGUGAAAGCCUGCGGCUCAACCGUAGAAUUGCCGUUGAUACUACUGCUCUUGAGUCCUGGAGAGGUCGCUGGAAUUCGUGGUGUAGCGGUGAAAUGCGUAGAUAUCACGAGGAACACCAGAGGUGUAGACGGGUGACUGGACAGGUACUGACGCUGAGGCACGAAAGCGUGGGGAGCAAACAGG
rnacentral:rRNA from 1 species